GUAGGCACACUCACUACAGCAACACAUAUACUAAAGUUGGAACAAUACAGAGAAAAUUAUCAUGGCCCCUAUGCAAGGAUGACACACAAAUUUGUGAAGUGUUCCCUAUUUUG
ensembl:snRNA U6 U6 spliceosomal RNA